GACGAACGCUGGCGGCGUGCUUAACACAUGCAAGUCGAACGGUAAGGCCCUUCGGGGUACACGAGUGGCGAACGGGUGAGUAACACGUGGGUGAUCUGCCCUGCACUUCGGGAUAAGCCUGGGAAACUGGGUCUAAUACCGGAUAGGACUCCGGACUGCAUGGUCUGGGGUGGAAAGCUUUUGCGGUGUGGGAUGGGCCCGCGGCCUAUCAGCUUGUUGGUGGGGUGAUGGCCUACCAAGGCAACGACGGGUAGCCGGCCUGAGAGGGUGACCGGCCACACUGGGACUGAGAUACGGCCCAGACUCCUACGGGAGGCAGCAGUGGGGAAUAUUGCACAAUGGGCGCAAGCCUGAUGCAGCGACGCCGCGUGAGGGAUGACGGCCUUCGGGUUGUAAACCUCUUUCAGCACCGACGAAGCGCAAGUGACAGUAGGUGCAGAAGAAGGACCGGCCAACUACGUGCCAGCCGCCGCCGUAA
rnacentral:rRNA from 1 species